AUUGAACGCUGGCGGCAGGCCUAACACAUGCAAGUCGAGCGGGGUUUUCGGACCUAGCGGCGGACGGGUGAGUAAUGCGUAGGAAGCUACCCGAUAGAGGGGGAUACCAGUUGGAAACGACUGUUAAUACCGCAUAAUGUCUACGGACCAAAGUGUGGGACCUUCGGGCCACAUGCUAUCGGAUGCGCCUACGUGGGAUUAGCUAGUUGGUGGGGUAAUGGCUCACCAAGGCGACGAUCCCUAGCUGGUUUGAGAGGAUGAUCAGCCACACUGGAACUGAGACACGGUCCAGACUCCUACGGGAGGCAGCAGUGGGGAAUAUUGGACAAUGGGCGCAAGCCUGAUCCAGCCAUGCCGCGUGUGUGAAGAAGGCCU
rnacentral:rRNA from 1 species